UAUUAAAUGCAUCUAUUAAACUGAGGAAAAAAAGAAAGGAGAGAACACAAAAAGUAAUACCGAGUAAUAACCCGACUCUAUCCCCGCGUCACGAAAAACCAUUAGGUGCAGGUAAUAUGAACCCAGGCGGAAUUUUUAUCGGUAGAGCAAGAGAAUAAGAGACGACUCAAUAUGCGAUUGUGGUUUCUCAACAACCAAAUCUAGAGAUUCAAGAAGAAGAAAUGGCCCAAACAAGUAUUGCUGCUAUUCAUAAGAAUAAAGGAAAAGCGGGAGAGAAGAAGGAGAAGAAGAAGUAUCCACCACCACCCUACAAGAAGACAAAUCAUCAAUGCAACAGUGUUAUUUUCUCUCAAAGUGAACGGGAAACCUUGGGAAAAAAUUUAUGUGUAAGAUAAUUAAAAAACGGUCCCAAAAAUGAAACACCAGCAAGCGAAGUUUUGGCCGUUGGGUAGGAGAGAACGAAGUUGUGGUGGCCAUUGGACUGAAAAAAAAUAAAGAGUACAAACAGAGAACAUCGUGGAACCGAGUUAAAGUGAUACCCAAACCUGAUAAAUGAGAUCUCUUUAAGUAUUCAGAUGACAAAUAGGAUGAAGAUGAUGAAUCGUAUAGUCUCGGUGCUUCUUCAUCUAGAGAUGAGGAUGUUCAGUACAAUGUUGUUGUCCAAAGCCAAUGAAGAGGUGAUUGAGGUGGACAUGGUAAAAUUGACUAAGAUCAAAGUGGACGUGGUCACCAUGGAGCUCAAGUUGUAGAAGAGUAAGAAAAUGAUCGGGAUCGAGUUCAUCAUCGGGGUCGGGUUCGUAAUCGAAGUUGGAUGAAGAUUCCAAUGAAUAAUUUAUAGAGUUGUAUCAAGUGUUAUUGGUUAUAGAUAUUUUGAAUUUUAUCCAUGACUAUGUCUGUUAUAAGGUAAUGGUUUGGACGGAUAGAUUAACUUAGCGUGCAUGAAUGAAUUUUUAGUGUUUUCAUUUA